AAAUAAUGCACCAUCAAACUUAAUUCUUCCUUGUACAUAGGCACUCAGUGCUGUUUCCUUCCUCUUCUGAGUUAUACCUUCUUUCAUGGAAUAAAUGCCCUUCUCUCUCUCUCUCUGUAAUGGCUGUGCCUGUGGCAUAUUUAAGUUCCUGGGACAGGAAUCUAAUCAGACAGAGCUGCAGCUGUGUUGCCAGGCCAGUGCCUCUGGAGCCAUCAGAGCCAUUGCAGUCAGGUUCUUAACCCAGUGUAAACACUGGUCUGGGAGUUCCCAUUGUGUCUCAGCGGAAAUGAAUCUGACUAGCAUCCAUGAGGACGUGGGGUCGAUCCCUGGCCUCAGUCAGUGGGUGAUGGAUCCAGUGUUGCUAUGGCUGUGGUAUAGGUCAGAAGCUGCAGCUCUGAUUCGACCCUAGCCUGGGAACCUUCCUAUGCCACAGAUGAGGCCCUAACAAGACCAAAAACAAAAAAACAGAUACACUGGUUUGUCUUGUGUGCUCAAUUGGCUGUUUUUUAAUACAGGAAGUAUAUAAACUUUUUUGCCUUCCCUUUCUCUUCUUUAGGAAGGAAAUAGAACAGUGAUAAUAAACAACCGUCUCAAUGACUUUUUUAACUUAAGGAUUAUGAGCUUGGGCAGAAUAUACCCUUUUAUUAUAAAAUGUAUGCUUUAUAUUUCAGGCAGUUGUUGAUAUUUUUAAAAUUUGUAUUGAAGUUGAAAUAUUUCAGAUUGUUUCUUAGUUUCUCAUUGGCUUAUACAAUUUCAAAGAGUAUUGUUUUUCAAUGAGCAUUUUUUCUCAAGGAGAAUUUUUAUUUUGUUGGUAAAUAAAAUAAUCAUGACCGUAUUUGUUUAGAUUAAUCCCUCUUUAAAAACUGAAUUUCUGGAAUUCCCGUCGUGGAGCAGCGGAAAACGAAUCCGACUAGGAACCUUGAGUUUGAGGGUUCGAUCCCUGGCCUCACUCAGUGGGUUAAGGAGCUGGCGCUGCUAGGAGCUGGCGCUGCUAGGAGCUGUGCUGUAGACCAGCAGCUGUAGCUCCAAUUGAACCCCUAGGCCUGGGAACCUCCAUAUGCCGUGGGUGCGGCCCUAAAAAGAAAAAAACAACUAAUUUCUGUGUUAAUAUCUUUGGGUUUCUCCCACUUUCUGUAUCUUAGUAUUAUUUACAGAAAAAUUCUACCUUUCCUCUUCUUAAACAGAGUACGUAUCUGAUUCUUAUAUUGAUUAUAUUUGGCAUUUAAUACUUUUUCUAAAAUUACUGUUACCAUUAUUUAUAGUCCCAUUAUAUCUGUAGUUUUGAAAAGCUGUAAAAAUUCUCUGUUGCCAGAGAAUUUAAGAUAUGUUACCAGGUAGGCUUGUUUAUUCUGGGAAAAGAGGCUUGUGUUCUUUAGGCUAACCAUUUAGUAGUGGUCUAGUAAAGGUGGUCUGUGUCCUAGGGAUUCCAUCAUUGAAAUAAUAAAAUUAGGGAUUUCCUGUCAUGGCUCAGUGAAAACGAAUCUGACUAGAUUAGCAUCCAUGAGGAUCCAGGUUUGAUCCCUGGCCUCGCUCAAUGGGUUAAAGGAUCCAGCAUUGCUGUGAGCUGUAGUGUAGGUCGCAGAUGUGGGUUGGAUCCCAUGUGGCUGUGGCUGUGUUGUAGGCUGGCAGCUACAGCUCUGAUUUGGCCCCUAGCCUGGGAACCUCCAUAUGCCUCGGGUGCAGCCCUAAGAAGGCAAAAAAAAUGUUUUAAAGUAAUGGAUAUAUGAUACAUAAAGUUGGUAAUGCUCAGGAAGCCGUGGAACUUUAUUUCAGAAUGUAUUUUUAGAAGAGUAUGUAUGUACCUAUGAUUAAAAGAAGACAAAAACAAGGAUUUAAGAAACUAGAUAUAAGCUGCUUAAUUUCAGAAAUGUAUCAUUAUAACCCUCUGUGGGCUCUCAUUAUGUCUUGGUUCAGUUUAAACUUUAGGGGGAAGGAGAAUCCAUGUGUGCUCAAGUCUCAUGGGAGACUUACUGUAGUGAGAUUUAUUAAAUAUGAUGUCAUUUUUAUUCCUGACUAAAUCAAGAAAUUGUGAAUUCGGGAGUUCCUGGCAUGGUGCAGCAGAAACAAAUCCGACUGGGAACCAUGAGGUUUCAUGUUCAAUCUCUGGCCUCACUCAGUGGGUUGAGGAGCUGGCGUUGCUGUGGCUGUGGCCGGCGGCUACAGCUCUGAUUAGACCCUUCGCCUGGCAACCUCCAUAUGCCACCAGUGCAGCCCUAAAAGACAAAAG
rnacentral:lncRNA from 1 species